UACGUAGGGUGCAAGCGUUAAUCGGAAUUCCUGGGCGUAAAGCGUGCGCAGGCGGUGAUGUAAGACAGGUGUGAAAUCCCCGGGCUUAACCUGGGAACUGCAUUUGUGACUGCAUCGCUGGAGUGCGGCAGAGGGGGAUGGAAUUCCGCGUGUAGCAGUGAAAUGCGUAGAUAUGCGGAGGAACACCGAUGGCGAAGGCAAUCCCCUGGGCCUGCACUGACGCUCAUGCACGAAAGCGUGGGGAGCAAACAGG
rnacentral:rRNA from 1 species